rnacentral:tRNA from 1 species
AGUGGGGUAGGUAAAAAAUACUGGGGGGUUUUCUCCCCCCUGUUGUGGGCAAUCCCACCCCUGCUA